rnacentral:lncRNA from 12 species
GGGGGGGGGGGGGGGGGGGGGGGGGGGGGGGGGGGGGGGGGGGGGGGGGGGGGGGGGGGGGGGGGGGGGGGGGGGGGGGGGGGUGUGACGGGGGCGCGGGGGGAGGGAUGGGGACAGGCUGGCACGGGCCGGGGAGGGAGGUGCGAUGGGGACAAGGACAAGGUGAGCAUGGAGAUGGAGGGGACAGGGAUUGGUGGGGACACUAAGCCGGGGGUGGAGGUGGGGGGCUGCGGGACAGCACACAGCGGGUCGGGGGGGACGGGGGACAGGGACAGGGAUGCCACGGUCCCCGUGCGUCCCCAGACGUACGUGCAGGACGUGCUGCGGGCACAGCUGGCGGCCGAGGUGCACCGGGUGCUCUGCCAGCACGGGGGCCACAUGUACGUGUGCGGGGACGUCACCAUGGCCACCGAGGUGCUGCAGAGCGUGCAGCACAUCCUGGCCCAGGAAGGCGACAUGACGCUGGGGCAGGCGGGGGACGUCAUCAGCGAGCUGAGGGACAAGAACCGCUACCACGAGGACAUCUUCGGGCUGACGUUCCGCACGCAGGAGGUGGCCCUGCGCAUCCGCAGCCAGUCCUUCUCCCUGCAGGAGCGGCGCCCGCCGGGCCCGCCCUGAGCGCGGGGGCGCGGGGACACGGGGGCUGCGCCCCCCGCCCGCCACCCCCAGUAAAGCUUUAGUUUUGAUACCCCCGGCUGACGCUUGGGCUCCCGCGGUGGCGCCGGGGCCGGGGGAGGUGGCGCAGGGACGGGCGGGGUUUUGUGGCACCUCUGGGGUCACCUGGCCAUGCUCCAGACACGAGGGGUGGGAAACGGGGGGGCAAAAGGACACGGGCACGGUCCCGUGGCUCUGAGGGGUGGAAGUGGUGGGAGGGGGCCACGGCUCCUGGGGGGGGGGGGGG